GACAACAGCUAAAUCACCCUGCAGCCCAACACCAGUUACUCACUGCAGUGAAGCAGGGCUGAGCCUGGUCAGUACCUGGAUGGGAAACCACAUGGGAAAACCAGGUUGCUGUUGGAA
ensembl:rRNA 5S_rRNA 5S ribosomal RNA